AGUGAACGCUGGCGGUAGGCCUAACACAUGCAAGUCGAACGGCAGCACAGUAAGAGCUUGCUCUUACGGGUGGCGAGUGGCGGACGGGUGAGGAAUACAUCGGAAUCUACUUUUUCGUGGGGGAUAACGUAGGGAAACUUACGCUAAUACCGCAUACGACCUACGGGUGAAAGCAGGGGAUCUUCGGACCUUGCGCGAUUGAAUGAGCCGAUGUCGGAUUAGCUAGUUGGCGGGGUAAAGGCCCACCAAGGCGACGAUCCGUAGCUGGUCUGAGAGGAUGAUCAGCCACACUGGAACUGAGACACGGUCCAGACUCCUACGGGAGGCAGCAGUGGGGAAUAUUGGACAAUGGGCGCAAGCCUGAUCCAGCCAUACCGCGUGGGUGAAGAAGGUCUUCGGGUUGUAAAGCCCUUUUGUUGGGAAAGAAAAGCAGCAGGUUAAUACCCCGCUGUUCUGACGGGACCCAAAGAAUAAGCACCGGCGAACUGCGU
rnacentral:rRNA from 1 species